UAUCUCUGUAGAGUCUGCAUAUCAAUAAGCGGAGGAAAAGAAACUAACUAGGAUUCCCUCAGUAACGGCGAGUGAAGCGGGAAGAGCUCAAAUUUGAAAUCUUCAAGGUUCUACCUUGACGAAUUGUAGUUUAAAGAAGUGUUUUCUGUUAGAUUUGAGUAGCAAAGUUCCUUUGGAAUAGGGACAUCAUAGAGGGUGAGAAUCCCGUAUUUGGUCAUUAUUUCCAGCUUUGUGAUACACUUUCAAAGAGUCGGAUUGUUUGGGAAUGCAGUCCAAAAUGGGUGGUAAAUUUCAUCUAAAGCUAAAUACUGGCGAGAGACCGAUAGCGAACAAGUACCGUGAGGGAAAGAUGAAAGGAACUUUGAAAAGAGAGUUAGACAGUACGUGAAAUUGUCAAAAGGGAAGCGUUUGACACCAGUGUUGUUUUCUCGAAAAUCAAUUAAGAAUGGCAUGAUUUUGUGUUGUAUUGACCUUUAUCAGCUUUCUUCACUCUUUUCUGAGUCUUUUUAAUGCACUUUUCGGUUAACAAGUCAACAUCAAUUUCUUUUGUUGUAAAAGAGUAUUCGGAAGGUGGCUUUCUUUUCGGAGAAAGUGUUUAUAGCCCUAUACUUCUACAAUCGGAGAGAUUGAGGUCUGCAGCGUAGAUCCUUCGGGGUUAGAUACACUUUGUGCUAAGUUGUAGCUUUUCAUAGACAACUUGUUGACUAUGUUUAGUCAUGCGGCUUACUCGCUUAGGCUAUUUUACCUACGCUUAGGAUGUUGACGAGACUGUCGAUCUC
rnacentral:rRNA from 1 species